rnacentral:lncRNA from 1 species
GUCACAGCAAACUAGGGACGUUUUCCUUCGCAGUUGAAAUGUGGCCAUUUCCUAGGAAUAUCUCUGCCAUCAGGCGUUUUUAUUGCUGCAGAGCCUCAGCUUCCGGUUUUGGCUAUCUGGAAAGCCGGGAUGGAAAUUAAUUGACAAACGCUGGGGAGAGGAUCUCUGAAGAAAGCUCGGAACAGAUUUCAAGAGAGGCUGUUCUAAACUGUCCUGAUUUGGAUGGAAGCCACCAGAAGAAAAUUAAGAGUUUUUCAAGAGUUUGCUGCCAAGGAGUUAAUGGCUGAGAGUUGAGGUUUGUAAUAAAUACACUG